CUGUGGGCUAAUACGACAAGAUCUGAUGGAGUCAUUGAAACCCAUCCAUUGCUGGAAAUUAGGAUAUUCUCCCCUGCUGAGGUAAUACUGGUUUCCUCUAUAGUUGGGGUGCUCAUACAGAAUCCAGUUUCCACUUUCCACUCGGAUGGAAUUACAGCACUGAAAAUAUGAGGACAUAUCUGGACACUCAGAGGUGCACUCAUAAGAGCGGCCCUGGAAGUUACGAUCCUCGUAGAAGACAAUCUGUGAAAGAACCGUGCAUUUGAACAUUUUAGAUUUUUUUUGUUUAUUAUUGUUUUAGUGGUUAAUAAUUUCAUUUAAAUAGUUUCUGGUUUGAUUACUUCAUGCUACAGAUUCCUAAAAACAUCUACUAUUAUCCUGUUCAAAUAAUAUAGUGUAGGAGUUAAACAUAUAAGUUUAGGGAAGAAUUGGAAUAUAUGUUUUUGGUACAUUUUGCGUUUUCGAUUGGUGAAUUUGCAUUCACUUUCACAUAAUUAUAGCAAUUUAUUAUGGUGAAUAGUGGCAUUCACUACAAAGUACUUUCAAAGACAGAAAAAAAUCUUAAUCUUGAGUCUGAAAAAAGUAAACAUGUGAUGCAUGUGUUCUGAUUAAUUCUUAUUUGAGGAGGCGGCAAAUGUCCAAAACUGGUUUACGAAAGAUAUUUUGUUGGCAUGUUUCUGGACUAGAUAAAUUUACCACAGUAUAUUGUUCAGCAGUUAAAGUUUGCUGGCAUUCAGUGUAAGCAUUUAACAUUUUAAUUUGUUUUUGUUCAUUUAAAAAAUCUGUUUAUUGUUUUCAAAAUUUCUUGUGUUGCCAAUAUUUACAAUAUUCAGAUAAUCUUACCUUUCCCAUUUUCAGUGAUGGUUGAUCUGCUCAUGCAAGUUGUGCUGUUACACAGAACGAAGAGCCUAUAUAUAUAUAUAUAUAUAUAUAUAUAUAUAUAUAUAUAUAUAUUGUUUACCUUGCUGAUGCUUAAAUACAUUGAAAAGAGUGCUGAGCUGGUUUCUUUUCACCAGUAACUAGAAUAUAUAGCUAUUGUAUACUAUAUGCUUCAGUAUUGCUAUUGUAUUGUAUCAUAUAUGCUUUUUUUGUUUACCUGCUGGCACAAGCAGUUCCUGGUUCUAAGAGAUAUCUAGAGAAAAUGUGACAUGCCUUUUUUUAAAUAGAUUAUUUGUAUUCCUACCAUGGAAAAAAAAUAUUUUAAAGCAUAUUUUACAAAAAGAAAAGAAAACAAGGUUAGAGAUUAUUGACAAUUGUUCUGCAACUUAAGUUCUGUUUUUUAAGAUAUUAUUAUUAUUAUUAUUAUUAUUAUUAUUAUUAUUAUUAUUAUUAUGGGGCUAAAUCAUACAUAUUAUAUUAAUUAUGUUUAUAAUAGAUACAUGUAAGAUGUAAUUUGAAACUAAAGUAUGUUCAUGUCAAAUGCAUCAGUUAUAAUCACUGCCAUUUAUUCAUCCCAUUAGACCUCCUGAACUCCUGAAUUGUGUUUGUAUUUUCAACGUUAUCACAAUCCAAAACAUUUGAACUAUUAAAAAUAAAGUUACAACUUGACUUAUCUCUUAUUGGUAUUCACAGUAUCUCAUAAUCAUGGAGUUAACGAGAAAGUAAAUGGUGCUCUUUGUGGUUACAUCACAUAUUUAAUGUUAUUAUUCUGAAUAAUCUUUAUUUUGUUUCCGCAGUAAUAAAAUUACAUCCACACUUUUGCAUGCCUAGGCAUUUACAAACAAAACACAAUAACAAACCAAAAACAGUUGAGAGGAGAGAAGACUGAGUUCUAUAAUAGAAGCAUGUAAAUGCAAAUUAUAGAUUAGAUUAUUAUAAAAAUAACUCCCUUUUAACUAUUAGAGCUGAAAAACGUAAAUGCUUUUUGAAGACAACAUACUUGUAUUCUUUUGUUUUUAGCUGAUGAGUUAUUAAUCCAACUAUUAAUCCAAUUUGCGUUUUUCAUUUUACAUUGGAAAAUAAUUUGAUUUUUCCAUUGUCAAUACAUAAUUUCUUGGGAUUGUUUCCAACCUCUUGCUAUUAAAUCAAGACUGGUGGUUCCCAUUACCAACCAAAAGUCACUUUGCUCUAAGAAUCAUGGUUAAAAACUAAAAUACCAGACUCUGCAAAUUGCAAUAUAUGGGUGUAAUGAAAGCAACUUUGCCACUGCCCUGGGACUAUGGGCCCUAUGAUAACCUAUGUUCAAAAGUACUGUUUCUGCCCCUUGGACUUUUACAUUGCUGUAUUGGUCCAGAUGUGUGCAAAGACUUUGUGUUACUUUCUCAUGGUGUGUAUGUUUGAAUAAAUAUUAAUUUUUGGCUGCAAUACAAUCUGAUUCGAUUAUUGGAACUUUGGUGUGACAAACAUCUCAGGAAUAGCUAAUAUUCUACAUGUUAUGAUGGAGAAUGCGGGCAGGGUUUAAGUCUGUACAGAAAAAAAACUGUUUAAGGUCCUGCAAAAUAAAUGUUAUCAUCCUAAUUUAAAAGAAUGAUGUAUAAAUAUAGUACAGGAGUGUCUUAAAUGUGCUCAAUUUAAUCCAAGACCUAAAGACUAGAAAUCAAAAUUGCAGAGGGUAUCCGUGGCAGAAGGACCAUGGGACCCUAUAUAAAUUGUUUCUAUUAAAAUAUAAAUUGAAAAAAAAUAUGCUUGUAGAUAAAGGGAGUAGUUGGGUAACACAUUUACUAAGAGUAUUAAUAUAUAUUCGUGCAACUCCAAACUCUAAAAUGCAAGUGUCCCCUCAUGACUUAAUGACAGGCAGAACAAUGCCAAUCACUUUCCCCAAUGAAUCUUUUAUUCCAAGUACUUUCAAAGUAGCGUCAGAACAUGUUGAAUAGUUGAAAGUAUUACGGGAACAGCUGCAAUCAGUUUUAAAGUUUGCUGCUUCAAAUAUUGUCCCUUCUGGUAAAAAAUCUGUUAAUGGGAUACUUUAGUGCCACGAAUAUAAAGCUGUAUAACUGGCACUACCGAUCCCUCUGCCUCCCCCCCAUUCCCUGGUAAAUAGAGGCUUAAAAACCCUUUAUUUACUUACCUUAUACCAGCGCCAAUGUCCCUCUGUUCUGGGUGGAAUCUCCGCCUCUCCUCCAUCCCGCGUGCGCAUUAGCCAUCCCCAUAUUAAAGCAUUGAAUCAAUGCUUUACUAUGGGUAAAUUCUGACGCUGGAGGUCCUCAUCCAGAGCGUGGGAUGUCCAGCAUUAGAUAACGAACCAAAAGUCUGUUAUGAUUCUGGAAGCUGAAGUUGUCUGGGUGCCUACAGUGUCCCUUUAAAGAUAUAGCACUGGGAAACUAUGCAUAUACGUUUAAACUAGAGAAUAAGGUGAAGGUAAAAUCGUUUAAAACACCAGAUCCCUUAAAAAGCAAGUUGGAAAAGGUCCUUAUGUUAAUCUAAAAAAAAAAUAGAAUACAGAUUAAAAAAAAUGUUGGUAGAAAAUGUAGUAAGUCAUUUAUUGUGCAUAGUGAUCAAUGUAAACUUACUAAUAAUGUAUAAGAAAUUAAUGUAUAAGCAUAGUAAACUGCCAUUUAUUUAUUUUUUAUUACAGAACCAAUAAUGUUUUUUCAUGGACAAAAACGGUUUUAUUUUAAAAAGGACACACUGUUUGGACUUUCAAAGGACAUUAUGGACAAAGAGAUUGUGCUUGUGGAUUCAAUUAGAGAGGACAUUAUUUCAUGGACUAAAUCAAAUCAAUUUUAUUUUCUGGUUAAUGUAAAAUGUAUACAGUUGCACAGCAUACUAAAAAUUAUACUGUUAUUAAUCAUGUUAGGUACAAUCAAUGCCCAAGGUUAAUUAAUUAAUUUGAGGAAAAAAUUCAAAGUCUAGAUCCAACUACAAUUGUAAUUGCUAAAGAAAAUAGAACUUUGAGAGCAGUUGCUUUCUUCUUGGAUAAAUUAAGGUGGAAGUCCAGAGAGGAGCCUCCGUCUUGGACUCGGUGUAAAAAAAUGAUACAGACAGCUGAAUGCCUCCCAUUUUUCUCAACUGGAAAUGGCAGUGUUAAAAGUCACAGGUCACUAAGGCAGAAUGUAAUGCCUAAAGUUAUUGAUAUCAAAUCAAAAGAGAAAUUUAAUUUGUUGAUUGACAAUUUUGACAGGGAAAAAAAAUGUAGUGAUAAAUCAAUAAAGGCUUUUCCUUAUAAACUGAUAAGACAAAUAAGGACAAUUUCAAUUUAAUGACAGCCAUGUCAUUAAACCAUGUAUGACCUAUCAAGAUAUUGCUCUCUCCUGUUGCUCCCAGCACUCUUUCAGUGUUUCUUUUUCUGGCUCUGCUUCUUCUCCCCAACUCCCCCCUGUUGGUGUCCCCCAAGGUUCAGUCUUUGGUCCUCUAUUGUUCUUUAUCUAUCCUCCCUUGGUAAACACAUUAGCUCCUUUGGCUUCCAAUAUAAUUUCUAUGCAGAUGACACGCAAAUCUGCCUGUCCUCUCCUGAUCUCUCCCUGUCCCUCUUGACUAGUGUCUCUGAUUGCCUCUCUGCUAUUUCUAACUGGAUGGCUGCCCACUUCCUUAAACUCAACUUGACCAGAACUGAAAUUCUGGUCUUACAACCCUCAAGUGUUGCUACUCCUGUGUUUGUCUCCCUCCAAGUCAACGGUGCUACUAUCAGCUCCACCAUGCAGGCUCGCUGCCUAGGUGUUCUCUUUGACUCUGACCUCUCCUUCAUGCCUCAUGCCCAGUCUAUCGCCAAAUCCUGUCAUUUCCAUCUGAAAAACAUUGCGCACAUCCAACCCUACUUAACACCAGAUAUGACUAAGGUGCUGGUCCAUUCCACUGUUCUUUCUCGCCUUGACUACUGUAAUCCACUUCUCAAUGGUCUUACGUGCUCCCAACUUGCACCAUUACAGUCCACAAUAAAUGCAGCGGCGAGUCUCAUCUUCCUGUCUGCCCGCACCUCCAAUGCCUCACCCUUCUGUCAGUCCUUACAUUGGUUUCCUGUAAGAUAUAGGCAGGGGCGGACUGACCGAUCGGGCACUUCGGACAUGAUUGGGGGCGGCAUCUGGGGACUGCAGAACAAGGUGCCACCGGGUGGCCGGUCCGGUGGCACACUUUGAGGGGGCCGACCAUUUCAUGCUGGAGCCGCCGGCCCGGGUGGCAGCCUCGCCGAUCCGGCGGCUUUCCUCUCACUAACACUGAAGGAGGAGGAGGAGCAUGUGUCUGUCAUGCUCCCUGCGGUUCCCACAAUUCCCAGCACAGGAUGUGGGAACCGCAAAGGAGCAUGACAGAGAGAGACAUGCUCCUCCUCCUCCUUCAGCGUUAGUGAGAGGCUGCCACCCGGUCCGGCGGCUCCAGCAUGAAACGGCCAGCCCCCGGCCCCCUCAGGCUUGAGUAAGAGGGGGCAAUAGAGAGAUAGGGAGGGGGGAACAGGAGAAAGAGGGNNNNNNNNNNNNNNNNNNNNNNNNNNNNNNNNNNNNNNNNNNNNNNNNNNNNNNNNNNNNNNNNNNNNNNNNNNNNNNNNNNNNNNNNNNNNNNNNNNNNAGAAAGAGGGGGAACAGAGAGAUGGGGAGGGGGAGAAAGAGGGGGCAAUAGAGAGAUGGGGAGAAAGAGAGGGAAGAAUGAGACACUGGGGGAGACAGAGACAGAGAGGGGAGAAAGAGGGGGAAUAGAGAGAUGGGGAGGGGGGAGAAAGAGGGAAAAAUGAGACACAGGGUGAGAAAGAGAGGGAAUAGANNNNNNNNNNNNNNNNNNNNNNNNNNNNNNNNNNNNNNNNNNNNNNNNNNNNNNNNNNNNNNNNNNNNNNNNNNNNNNNNNNNNNNNNNNNNNNNNNNNNAAUGCUUUGGGGGCACCACUAGGGGGAGUGUGUAGGAAGACAUGUGCUUCUGGUAGUGACAUCACAGGCCAGCCUACUUACACUGAAUAAAACCAGAUGGAGGAGAAAACUCUGUCCCUUUGCCUGUACCUGACUGAACCUAAGAUGUAGUACCAGUUCUGACUUAAGCCCAGCCAAAGAGCUGGGGCCUUGUAAGUAAAAUGAACAUUUAGCAAUUGUAAUAGCCUUUUGUGUAACAUUUAGCAACCUUUUGUAAGUAAUAUGUUGUAGUUUUGUAUUGUAUAAUUAUUGUAGUAAAUUGACAUUCUGCUAGCAUCUGUUUAUUUAUUAUAGUUAUAUAAAAAUAUACAUUUAAUAUUACAACGUUUUGUGUAUUUUCUAUCCACAUAUUCGACCAUAAUACCAUGAAUUAUAACAAUAUUAAUGUUGUUCCGUAUUGCUUAAUUAUUAUGUAUUAAGAGAUUAAUAUUCAUAUUUAGGUCACGACCACAACAUUUGGCGUAGUCGGCAGGAUUAUGCUUGAAUAUUGGGGAAAAUAUAAAUGUUAUGCAUUUUGCUUAAAUCAUACUGUAAAUUGUCUGUCUGUAUACAAAUGAAUAAAUGAAUGAUGAUUUGGUUUUAAUGGAAUGAAUGCAGAUAGCAAAUAGGGAUUAGAUAUUUGUUUUUAAUGUAUCUCUUGCUGUAGAACAUAGUGAUGAAUUAUUGUGUUGCUUGUCACCAAUCUUUGGUCAUUUGUAUAUAGGAGAAAACUUAUGUAUACUUUACCUUUUGUCUGACCAUGUGGAUUUUAAUCCACCAUUGACCACAUGAUGUGCAUGAGUUGAGGCCUAGUUUCAUUGUUUGCUACCAUUUGCAUAGGAAAAGACUUUUCACUAAACUAGUUCACCAGGUUUUAUUGCUAAAUUUGACCCUGUUUGUGUACUAAUUUACAUUUGUUUGGCAUUCAUGGAUUUGUCUAGUUGAAAAGAGAUUUGGACAAAAUGUAUUAAAUUAGUAGUUAAGAAAAAGAUACGUUUAGUAAAGCAGAUUCAGUGAAUAAUAGAUUUAUGUGUGCGUAUACACAGAAUAUUAGUAUAAAUAUAUAUGAUUUUGACUCAUGAAGGAGAGACCACCUUUUUAACAGCUGUGUGACCAUGCUUUUCAGCUACAGCUGGGGGAGAAUUUGUCCUUGUUGGGGGUGGGUAGUCUUGCUGUAUGAGAAAAAAUAAACUGCAUUGUUUUGUAAAUUUAAUUGCCUAAACUAAUCAAUUUGUGGAGUGUUUUUCAGCUUUAUUAUCCAGGACUAAGGAAUUACUGGACAUAUGCAGGAACUGGUAACAAAUGGACUGAAAAAAUGGUAAAAUAAUUCCUUUGUCCUAUUUAGUCUGAAUAUUUUAACAAGUUAGCAUUUUUAACAAAGUAAGUGUAGGGGCUCAGAUUAAGAUUUAUAUUAUUUUAGAAGCCAUCUAUAACUGAUUUUAAUAUUUCCAUGCUUUGAAUUAGGGUGUAUCUGCCUAGCGGGUGAACCUCCAUAACGUGGGCUGUGAUUUUAGUUACAGUGGCGGGUGGGGAACCUGAGCUAGGGGGUAUUUAAACGUGUCCGGAUAAGGGGGAGCAUACCCAAUAGUUGUUGUGCAGUUCUAUCCUGUAUUAUUAUUUGAAACCCUGUAUUACUUAUAAGUAGCGUUUUGUAACUUAUUUGUAAUUGUUUAUAUAUAUUGCUCUGGGAAAGGGAUAGGCAAAAUCUCUGAGAGACCAGGAAAUAUAUUUAAAAAAGGGCGUAUUACACUAGUGGUAGGGUGGCCUAUCAUGACCAUAGAGACCCUUGGUGACUAGUUUUUGUUGUAUAUUGCCCUGGGAAGGGGAUACGCUAUUUAAUAGAAAUUCCUGAGAGACCAGGAAAUAUACAAUAAGUGAUACGUGAGUGUACUGGUUAAAUUGCAGACAUAUUGGCCCAGAACCUUUAAUCGAGCCGGAAAAGAGGCUGCUGUAUGUUUGCUCCUCUAUAAUUUUGCGGGGGCAGUCACCCCCAUGCGGAAAGCCACUGCCAUCACAGGGUGGUUAGUUGUGCAGGCCCUUAGCCGCGAGGUGCAAGCAUGUCCGUGGAAAGGCUAGAAAUUAAUAGGGAGUCACUCAUAGCUGUCAGAAGUGUUGAACUUUGAGACAUAUUGACCUAUAUCCUUUCAGAGGCGGAAGAGGUGUUGUGGUUCACUCCUCUAUAAUUUAACCAAAGGGUGGAGAGUUAUUAAACAUGUUUAGGUUGGCUAGAAAUGUGUUUCCUGAAUUGCAGAGAAGAUGCAGAAAGCAGCUAUUAGCUUAUUGUUUUUUAAGAGCCUUGUAAAAAAAAAAAAAAAAAUUAAGAAUGUUAUCUUGUUGAAAAAAAUUGUUUAUAAAAUGAAAAGCUGAAGGAAUGUGUUUACAUGUCUGUGUGUGUGUGUAUAUAUAUAUAUAUAUAUAUAUAUAUAUAUAUAUUCUAAGUAAAAUAUUUGCAGUAUACUCUAUAAGUGACUAGGAAAGUAAUCCUGAUCUGUUUCCUAACCUUUUCAGAUGUAGCAGAAACCAGAGGUGGACAUUGGAACACAGAUAGAAUAUCAGAUGGAGACCAGUGUUUAAAUGUUGACCUUUGAUGAGCUAUUGAGUGUUUUAUUUUAUUGUCUAUUUAACAUGUCUAUGCUAUGAUUUUGUGCAUACUAUUCUCUUAUUUCUAGUGAUUGUAUUGCAAUUGAAACCCUUAUGUAUUAUUGUUGUAUGUAUGUAUGUACGCUUGCCUGGGAAAGGGGGGAAUUGACCCAUAGGGACCAGGGGGUAUUUUUGUGUAAACCAAACUGGGGUGGGAGGGCUCUAACGAGGGAACCCCAUUGUCCAGUAGGUGCUUGAUUUGUGUCUGUGUAAAGUGCAUGAGUGGUUGCAGUACAAAAAAAAACAAAAAAAAAAACGGAAGAAUGAUAAGAGGGAUAAGAGAAAGUAGGCAUUUUGGGUUAUCUAUACAUGUUUAAAUAGAAGGGUGGUAAAUAGGAAUGUAAUUGUUUUGGUUAAUGUUUAGAUUAAAUUGGUUAAAUACAGCAGUGAUAACGAGUGUUUAGAUUAAAUUGGUAAAUGCAGCAGUAAUAACGAGUGUUUGGGUUAAAUUGGUAGAUACAGCAGUGAUAUUGUGUUUAUCUGUGAAUCAGGAGUGUGCUGGAUGUGAAGAGAGGUGUGUAGGUAUUUAUCCAAACGCCAUAGGAAAAAAUAUGGUUAAGACACCACAGUCAAAUGGUACUUGUGAUGAUUGGCACAGUUAUUAUUUAUGUUUGUGUUCGUCAUUGCCUGUGUUUUCAUUCAAGAACUUUCAAGCAAGGAUAUUUUAAGCAGAAGAAGGAGAAGCACUGGACACUAUGCUCAACUGUUGCUGUAAGGAGAAAUAUUGCUAAGAGUGGUGAGAGUCAGAACAAAAUGCAUCAGGAGCAGGAAACUUUUACGUCAAGGUGGUUAAUGGUAUAAAGAAAGAAAAAACAAAACAAUGUGACCACAAACACACAAAAGUCCUUGAUCGCAUGAACUGUUUCAUUCAUCCCUGUCUCCAUGCGUAUGUUCUAUGAGACUGUCGAAGAAUAGAGUAUUCCAGUUUCCAGGACUAAUGUUUCUGAAAACUCCAGGCACACAGACCAGCCAGAGGCUACAGAAAUCGAGUCGGUCUGUGCCAUGAUUCAUAGGUGUUAUGAGUUUGCGGUGUCUAAUACUAUAUUAAGCUCCAGAACACAUCCUCACAUGAACACAAUAUCAUUGGUUAAUCUAAUAAAACAUGGUUUGAGUUGUUCAUUAUUAUAAGGGUGGGUAUGUGCCUGUUUCCCAACUGGUAAUGCAUGUGCUCAAUGGUGAACAUUUAUAUAAGCAAUAAAAUGUUAAUGGGUAAUAAUUAAUGGGUAAAUGGGUAUCGUUCUUCAAAAGGUGGGUUUUGUUGUAGGGCAGGUAGUGUUAAAAUGGGGGAAAAUUCAAAAUGUACUGGUUUUAUAAAUGCUUGUUUUAUGACAUAAGUCAAAGGGUGGUUUGUAAUGGUAUUUAUUAAUUAAUGACUUUACAUCAUAAAGAAAGCAUAUUUAGUGUAAUGCUUUGGGGGCACCACUAGGGGGAGUGUGUAGGAAGACAUGUGCUUCUGGCAGUGACAUCACAGGCCAGCCUACUUACACUGAAUAAAACCAGAUGGAGGAGAAAACUCUGUCCCUUUGCCUGUACCUGACUGAACCUAAGAUGUAGUACCAGCUCUGACUUAACCCCAGCCAAAGGGCUGGGGCCUUGUAAGUAAAAUGAACAUUUAGCAAUUGUAAUAGCCUUUUGUGUAACAUUUAGCAACCUUUUGUAAGUAAUAUGUUGUAGUUUUGUAUUGUAUAAUUAUUGUAGUAAAUUGACAUUCUGCUAGCAUCUGUUUAUUUAUUAUAGUUAUAUAAAAUAUACAUUUAAUAUUACAACGUUUUGUGUAUUUUCUAUCCACAUAUUCGACCAUAAUACCAUGAAUUAUAACAAUAUUAAUGUUGUUCCGUAUUGCUUAAUUAUUAUGUAUUAAGAGAUUAAUAUUCAUAUGUAGGUCACGACCACAACAUUGUGGAACUCACUUCCCUCCUCUGUUAGAUGCUCACCCAGUCUCCACUCCUUCAAAAAAAAUCAUUAAAAACCCUGUUCUUCAUAAAAGCGUAUCAAUUAAACUGUUAAUAGCUCCUGACUAAUUCUUCUCUUGCAACUGUCAUUAGUCUAAUACUAUCCUUACCUUUUGUGUCACUUUACCCCACUCCCUCCAGCAUGUAAACUCAUUGAGCAGGGCCCUCAACCUCUCUGUUCCUGUGUGUCCAAUUUGUCUGGUUACAACUACAUGUUUGUUCGCCCACCCACUGUAAAGCUUUGCAGAAUUUGUUGGCACUUUAUAAAUAAUAACAUAAUAAUAAUAAUAAGUCUAUUGAUGGAAGAAUGGUAUCAUUAAUAUUACCAAAGAUUUUACAUAUAUAAUGCAAAUUAAUAUAGGUAAUUGAUAACGAUUCACCUGAAAUACAAAACACCUUAGUGCAUAUACAUCCCGUGCAAGGGAUGGGUAAAAGCAUAAAACAUGAAUACAUUUCAGAAACCAAAUCAUGGGGUAACGGUGGUUUGGGGGACACAAGACAGGAUUAGUAUGGGUUUAUUACACAUCAUUUAGUAAUUUUAAUGAUUAUAAUUAAGAUGUUAUUCUUCUUUAGUUGGCAUAUGUGUAAAAGAGUAAAUCGUAUACAGUCUCAAAUGGUAGACGUUGAAUACAGAUGUAAAUAUCUGACAACAAAGUUAGAAUCCUAUAAGGAAUUGGAGUAAGUUAUUAUGAUGCAUUACAUUUUUAAAAGUAUCACGGGGGGGGAUGAAAUAUAUUUAAUGAACUUUAAAUAUCUGAUGUGUUGUAGAAUUUUAUCUUUGUGAUAUUAAUAUUAUCAUUUUUGUAUUAGUUGAAAUUCAUUUAAUUUCAAAGUAUUUUCAGACACAAUAACUGAGAGACCUUAUUCAUCUGUAUAUCAUUGGUCGCCACAUAUGGUUCUUGUUGAGAUAAUGAUUGAUGGAGGCCUGUUGAUAUUAACCUUUAACCCAGCAUUGCAAACCAGACUCCCAUGUGUAUUAGACUUCCAUUGCAAGUCAGACUCCCAUGUGUAUAAAAUAUUUGCAGAUGGAAAUUCCUCACCAAUACUUUUAACAACAAAAUUGGAUACUAUCUUGCUAAGUGCUUACAACUAGGAGAGAAUUGCAGUAAAUUAAAAAUAUAUAUAUUUUUCUUCAGAAUAUGGGGCUGUAGAUCUGCAAAUCCCAGUUACAAAGGACACACCACUGAUGCUGCUAACUCAUUACUGCCCAUGAUUUUCAUAGACACAUACUGAUAUAAAAUACAUGUGAUUUUAUUUUGAAAAUACUUUUUGACAUAUAUGCUAAAGUAAAUACACUUUCAAUGUUAAAUUCAUGUUUCAUCUGCAUUUCUUAAAUUAAUUUGUAUUUUUUCCUUUACUACCAUCUAAAUUAAUCACGAUUUAUUGAGAAGGUAGAAAAUUACAAAGACUAGAGCUAGAAGUAAAAACCAUAAAGAGCCAUAAGCCCAUUAUAGUAAUUAAAAUAUCACCCAUCAGUGUCAUGUUAUUUGCCUUCUUUUGUCAUGUUAUAUGUCUCCCGUGUCUGUUUAUAUUUCUAAUGUUGUUCUCCUUUCAGAAUAAUUAAUUGACAUUUCAAUACCUAACCUUCUUUUCCCUGUAAAAGCCGUCUUUUUUCUCUAAUCAGAUCUUGAUUUUUGAGUCCUAAUUAACUAGUCUCUGGUUGUUUCCUCUAGCCCUCUCUGGGCUUGGAAGCAACUAGCCUCUCCCACCUACCCCCACAUUGUUGAUUCCCUUUGGUACACUGCUUUAGAGCCAAGUUUCCAAAUUUGAUUCUCAGAUUGUCCUACAUAUCAAAUUGCUACAAUGGGAAUGGAAAUUACUUGGACUGAAUAAAUGAACAUCAGAUUGCCCAUUUUUACCCCACAUUCUCCAUAUUUAUUACAAACUCAGAUUCUGAAUUGGAUUGUGAUAGCGCCAUAACUAUUUGGCCAUGGUACCUUCUCUUAGAACUGUUUAUUGAUGUUGGCAUUUUGAAUAAGUAUGAUCUGUGUUUUAAAACCCUUUAAUUAUCAUCAUUUAAAUGUAAACCUCAUAGCAUUACAUAUUAAUUUCAACUCUUUGAUAUUGUUUAUGUUUGUUGAAUAUCCAAUUAUUGUUUUAGUAACCUUUAACUUAAUUUGGCAGUAAAAAAAAGAAAGAGUGCUUUCUGCACUGAUUUCUUCGUUCCUAUUCCUUUAUAUCUACCAAGUUUUAUAUUGUGAUUUGUUAGUUUAAAAGGGAGAACAUAACAAUCAGUUACAAGUGUUUAUACUUGAUAUAGAAAGUCUGAGAGAGAGUAUGACAUGAAAAUAAGCUGCACUAUAGGCUGAGAAUAAAGUGCUACUCAAUACAAAGAAACAAUACUAGUACUGUAAAAAAUAAAUAUAAUAAAACUAAGAAUAAACCAUCAUAGACAGAAAUUAUCUCUAGUUACUCCUCCGUGGUAACAUAUGAGCAAUUAAAAUAGUCAUUUGAUUUUCAGAUAUUAGCUAAUAGCACUCAAAUGGACCUCACAAGUCCCUCAAAUGUACCUCAUAAGGUAGGGCUCCUGUGAAACUGCAAUAAUAUUGCAAAGUAAGUGCACAAACAAAGUCAAUUGAGUUAUCUUUUCCAUGUCCUACAAAUGGGUAGAUCUUGUUGUAACCCCUCCAGGAUUAUUAAUGUACAGUGGAAAUAUCCCUAGUCUUCUUAGGAAAGCAUUCACUUCUGACAAGUACCUAAUAUAUUGCAUGGAAUCCUCAUGUGUGAUCAUGGGAGAUUUAGAAUGUGAUGCCUUAGGGUCUCAGACUUAUGGUCAUGCUUCAAUAAUUGUACCCAGGCCAGAGUUGUUUGUGUCAAAUUAAAUGUUAGAAAAUGGGCUUAAAAAGAAUAUUGUGACUGUUCUCAGACAGUCAGGAAUUGUACGAAUACAUAAAACAAAGUCUCUAUGUAAGAUUUUCAGUGGCUUAGGAAACUUAUUCUAAGUUACCUCCACCCACCUACAUGUAAUUUUAGAGGUUACAAUACUGUUUAAAUAGUAUUUUCUUGUAAAAGUCGGUGGGUGCUAAAUGUUGCCUUGUUUUGCAAUUUUUUUUGUUUAUUUCUUACAUUCAAAGCAUGUGCUUUUGCAUAAACAUAAAUCUGCUAUGACAAAUCUUACUCUACAGCUUGAAGUAUAAACAGUCUAACUUAGCCUAAUUAAGGAAAUUAGAAAUUAUGGUAGCUCACAAAAACAAUCUACACAUUGUACAUGUUCCAAUUAAAUAUGAACAUGUACAUGAAUUGAUCUUUCAGAUAUAUGAAUCCUGAGAGUCAGUGAAUGUUCUGUGUUGUUAAAUGCUUAUUCAAAUUCAGCAGUUUCUGUAGAGUGUUCACAUGUCAAGCGUGAAAGGUUGUAGUUGGAUGUCAUAUUUCUUCCAUCAUUCUAACUCACAAAUAUUCUCUAUUACCUUUGACCUAUACAUAUAGGACAUACACACACACACACACAUAUAUAACAAAUGUUAUUUAUUUAUUUAUAAGAAUGUAGUAUAUUCUGUACAGAAAGCAUUAAAAAAAAAAAUCAUACCUGAAAACACCAUAGAUAUUAUUUGAUACAUGACAGUGUUGUUGAAAGGAUGUUUUCAUUUUUCUUUUAAGAAAUACCUUUACUUUUUUUUUGUCAAACCAUUUAGUAAAAUAAGUAUUUUGUCUGUCACAACUCCACCUUUCUGAGGGACUAUAGUGGAAAAAUAAUAUAAUUCACCUUAUUACUUAUUCAUUAUUUGUUUUUAUAAGAACCAUUGUUAGAAUAAUAACUCAUUUACUGAACUGUGGUUUAAAAUAACUUAGUAAAAUGUAUAUGACCACAACAAAAAUAGAAAAUGAAAUAAAUAUAGACCUUAAAGAUAAUUAUUUAAAGCUUUUAUUAUAUUCUUAAUGACAUGCUGAUUUAGCAAUUAAUACAACUUAUUAGAAAAAGUGAAGUCUCCUGAAUGAGCCAAUUCUUGGGCUUAUGGCACCCCAGUCAGUAUAUUUUCUGUACUCUCCAGGUCUAAGAUAAUACUGGCGGCCCCUGUAAUUUGGUUCCUCGUAGAACAUCCAGUAGCCAUCAAGUACCUGGCAGGAGUGGAUGUCAUGGUAACGGAAUCUCUCGUUGACAUUAGGACAAUCUUCAGUAAACUCCAUCAUCUGACCUUGAAAAUCUUCCCUCUCAUAGACCUUCACUCUGAAUGAUCCAUGGUGCUUUAUGAAUAAAAAAUAUUUAUAAACAAGAGUACAAUGAUUAUAUAACUUCAUAUAAACAUCAAAAAUCUAUACAAUAGUAUAGAUUUUUGUAUCAAUGUUAACCCCCCCCCCGUUACCUGACAAUGGAAUUGUGAAUUGAAGAUAUAUUCCAUAACAUAAUUAAUAAUGGUAACAAAAGGAUAUAUUUGCAAAGGUAAAACAAUAAUUAAUUGAUAAUUGGGAAAUAAUUUUUUUUGGACUGAAUCAUAAUAUUUUUAUAAUAUGCUCUGGUUAAUAUAUUUACCUGUGGGCUAAUACGGCAAGAUCUGAUGGAGUCAUUGAAACCCAUCCAUUGCUGGAAAUUAGGAUAUUCUCCCCUGCUUAGGUAAUACUGGUGUCCUCUAUAGUUGGGGUGCUCAUACAGGAUCCAGUUUCCACUUUCCACUCGGACAGAAUUACAGCGAUGAAAAUAUGAGGACAUAUCUGGACACUCAGAGUUGCACUCAUAAGAGCGGCCCUGGAAGUUACGAUCCUCGUAGAAAACAAUCU
rnacentral:lncRNA from 1 species